GCGCUGUUAGCUCAGCUGGUAGAGCAGAUCCCUCUUAAGGAUAAGGUCACAGGUUCGAAUCCUGUACAGCGCACCA
rnacentral:tRNA from 1 species